GGGAGAGCGAGCGGGGCCGUGCCCGGCGGCGCGGAGCGGCGCGGCGGAGGCGACGGGAAUCCGGCCGGCCCCGAAGACGGGGAGCCGGCGCGGCGGGGCCGGACGACGGGCCCCGGCGGGGAGGAGGGCACCGAGACCCCCCAGACCCGCCGCGACGCCGCCGAGAACCGCCCCCGCGCCCGCCGACACCCACGGGCGGGCGGGCGCGCGCGCGUACGCGCGGGGAGGGCGAGGAGGACGGGCGGGGCCUCGGAGGAGGGGCGGCGGGGAGGAGGAGGGGCGCGGGAGCGGCGGUCGGCCGGACGCCGGGCCGCCACCGGGGGCGGGCGGCGAACCGCGGCGACCGGGACGCGCUCCCCCGACCCUCUCUCCCCGCCGGCACCCUUCCCCUUCCGGACCCGCCUUCCUCCUCCCCCACCACCACACCGCACGCAACACGCCCCCACCGCCGACGACGCGCGACGACGACGACGACGACGG
rnacentral:lncRNA from 1 species